rnacentral:rRNA from 1 species
GUGAGUAACACGUAGGUAAUCUGCCGUAGAGUGGGGGAUAACCCAUGGAAACAUGGACUAAUACCGCAUAUACUCUUGACACAUAAGUGUAGUAGAGGAAAGGAGUAAUCCGCUUUACGAUGAGCCUGCGGCCUAUUAGCCUGUUGGUGAGAUAAAAGCCCACCAAAGCUACGAUAGGUAGCCGACCUGAGAGGGUGACCGGCCACAUUGGGACUGAGAUACGGCCCAGACUCCUACGGGAGGCAGCAGCUGAGAAUCUUCCACAAUGGACGAAAGUCUGAUGGAGCGACAUCGCGUGAGGGAUGAAGGCCUUCGGGUUGUAAACCUCGGAAAUUAUCGAAGAAUGAGUGACAGUAGAUAAUGUAAGCCUCGGCUAACUACGUGCCAGCAGCCGCGGUAAUACGUAGGAGGCAAACGUUGCUCGGAUUUACUGGGCGUAAAGGGUGAGUAGGCGGAUUUAUAAGUCUAAGGUGAAAGACCGAAGCUCAACUUCGGGAACGCCUCGGAUACUGUAAGU